rnacentral:tRNA from 2 species
GCCCGAUUAGCUCAGUUGGUAGAGCAACGGAUUGAAAAUCCGUGUGUCCUUGGUUCGAAUCCGAGAUCGGGCACCA